CCUACGGGAGGCAGCAGUGGGGGAUAUUGCACAAUGGGGGGAACCCUGAUGCAGCGACGCCGCGUGGGUGAAGAAGCGCCUCGGCGCGUAAAGCCCUGUCAGCAGGGAAGAAAAUGACGGUACCUGAAGAAGAAGCCCCGGCUAACUACGUGCCAGCAGCCGCGGUAAUACGUAGGGGGCAAGCGUUAUCCGGAUUUACUGGGUGUAAAGGGGGCGCAGACGGCGAUGCAAGCCAGGAGUGAAAGCCCGGGGCCCAACCCCGGGACUGCUCUUGGAACUGCGUGGCUGGAGUGCAGGAGGGGCAGGCGGAAUUCCUGGUGGAGCGGUGAAAUGCGUAGAUAUCAGGAGGAACACCGGCGGCGAAGGCGGCCUGCUGGACCGCGACUGACGUUGAGGCUCGAAAGCGUGGGGAGCGAACAGGAUUAGAUACCCCUGUAGUC
rnacentral:rRNA from 1 species